UACAUGUGGGGCAAGCGUUGUUCGGAAUUACUGGGCAUAAAGGGUGCGUAGGUGGCUUGUUAAGUCAGGGGUGAAAGUUUUCGGCCCAACCGGAAAAUGGCCUUUGAUACUGGCGAGCUCGAGUGCGUGAGGGGUAACCGGAACGAGCAGUGUAGCGGUGAAAUGCGUAGAUAUUGCUCGGAAGGCCAACGGCGAAGGCAGGUUACUGGUGCGCAACUGACACUGAGGCACGAAAGCUGGGGGAGCAAACAGG
rnacentral:rRNA from 1 species